UAAACAGUAAAAAUAAAGAUCACUACCAGGAUAAUAAUAUGCUUUUCAAUGUAAAGGAGGGCAUUGUCAUUCAGUUACAACGUAACAGUAUCAGUUCUGUUAAAUUCUCAAUCCGUCUCUGUUUCAGGAUGUUCUGCUCCAAAGUUGCUUCACACUGUUUCAGCGCUCUUUGUCGCUUCUCUUCUUUCUCAGCCACAAACUUCUCAAGUUUCAUCUCCUCCUCUUUAGUCUUUUAGACAUCUUUGUCAUCUUGCUCUUUUCUGGAUGUAGCUGCAUAUUUUCUACUCUGCACUUAAGAGCUUCAGAGUCAAUAGUUACACUAACUCCAGUGGACAUGGAUCAAGAAAAGCUCCCAGAGGGUUACCACGAAGAUCUGCAGGAGAUGAAGAAGAAACUCGAAUACCUUCUACCACCAGCGGAUCUGUGGCCCAACUUUGCUCUGGAGUCUCAAGGUGCCAGACUUGUACAAACGAUGACCUCAGAAACAUAUGAGAGCAACAGACCAUGCAGAUUCUUUGGGAUGCCUUUAGAACAAGAACCCAUAGGCCCAAACAUUGUCAUUCAGAUCUGAACAACACUCAGAACAUUAAAUGAAUAUUAGGCAAAGUGGUGUUUCUUUUUUUU